rnacentral:piRNA from 2 species
AAAGAACUCAAGAAGGUGGACUUCA